AUGAGCACGGCCCUGUCUACUUGGAAAAGCAAUGUGAAGAGAAUGAUCGAGAAAGGUGAGAGUUAUGAGAAGAUCAAGGAGAAAAAUCCUUCGAUCACCGAAGAUGACUACAACGACUUCAAGAUCAAUUGCUCGAGCACCGCAAGCUCCGAAUCAAGUAAGUGGGGGAAAGAAAUGUGGGAGCUGAACUUAGGGGAACACACACUCGGUCCCAGCGGUUACAGAGUGGCGGAGCCUAUAUGGGACAAGGAGGAGGCGGACCGUGCCGAGCAAGGCCUACCGCCCCUCUUCAAUAAAUACGGUGACAAGCAGACCAGGAACUUUGUCAGGGCCCGGUACAAGAAGGACCCGAAAACAAAGGAGCUUACCACGGAUCCGAAGACCAGGGCGCUUGAGCUUGUUCUGGCGACUGAAAGCAUUAGCGCGGGGUCGACUAAGAGCAACCCUUGGGACACCACUCUAAAUAGGGCGUUGAAUGUAAUGAAGAACAAGGAUAAGCUCAGUAAGCCGACGUCAGCUGGUCGUGUGGCCGGCAAAGGCUUGUCGACAAAAUGGUCGUCAUACUAUAACACUGGUGGGCGAAAGGAGAAAAAGACCAGCUCGGAAAGCCAGGCGCGCGAGGUUCAAGAACUCAGGGCACAGGUGGUGCGGAUUCCGGAGAUUGUCCAAGAGCAAGUGCAACAACAACUCGGAGCAACGAUCACCGCCAUUGUGCCUACCUUGAUCCAGGGGAUUAGUGCGUGGAUUGCGGGUGGCCAACAGGGGCCGCCCCUGAUUCCUAGCUUCACGGCCAGCAACUCGCAGAACGCAAUGGCGGGGCCAUUGGUGUCUCCGGCGGAGGUGGCACGGGAGCUUAAUGCACCCGGGUGUACGCCGGCCGGCACCUCUACAGCAAGCGGCCCCUCCGUCAACUGCACGCCCGCCGUUGGCGGUGCCUCGACAUUAGCCAAGCUCAACGCCAUCAUCACGUGCGCUGCCGAUGUUCCGUGCACUCUCCUACACUUCGUGAACAACGACUUGGUCGAUGUCGCCAAGGGAAAAAUCGUUCAAUCGGGCAACCCCUUGUUCCACGGUACCCAGAUGCCACCCAACUUGUUUAGGGUUCAACUGGUUCGGGUGCUACCAGGCUGCAACGAGUUGUUACCUCCGAUUCGACCCGUCGGGGCCGACGAUGAUGACGUGAUGACCCUCAGCGCUUGCCUGAGCUGGCCCCUGCUUUGGCCGAAGAGCCAGAUUCGUUUGGGGGCGGGGGACACCACCCCAAAGACAACACCGUCAGUCGCCGCCGCCAAGUCGGCCCCAUGGCAAGACCGCCGCAACGGUGCCGGACAUCCCUAUGCCACUGGAUCCAAACAUGCAUAUGGCACAGGAUCAGAACAACGACGACGACGGUACAUUUGCCAAUGUCGAUCAGUACUUUGCCGAUCAUGGGUACGGUGGCGACUUCAUGGGGCCUCCUUCUCAAGAACCCAACCCAACAAAAGACGUGCGCGAUCUAGUUGGUAUCACGGAGAAGCCAAGUUGCAACAGGCGUCGUCUGCAGUUCAGCUCUCAGGAAACGCCUCCAGCUGCCGACUUCACCGAGCCUCAGAUAGGCGAGGUGCGAAAUAUGAUCAGCCCCAACACACUCAAGAAGGCGGUCUGUGA
rnacentral:rRNA from 1 species